rnacentral:rRNA from 1 species
UACGAAGGGGCUAGCGUUGCUCGGAAUUACUGGGCGUAAAGGGCGCGUAGGCGGAUGUUUAAGUCGGGGGUGAAAGCCCAGGCUCAACCCUGGAAUUGCCCUUCGAUACUGGACAUCUUGAAGUACGGGAGAGGUGAGUGGAACUCCGAGUGUAGAGGUGAAAUUCGUAGAUAUUCGGAAGAACACCAGUGGCGAAGGCGGACUCACUGGACCGGUAUUGACGCUGAGGUGCGAAAGCGUGGGAGCA